UUUAAACUUGAGAGUUUGAUCAUGGCUCAGAACGUACGCUGGCGGCACGCCUAACACAUGCAAGUCGAACGAAGUAGCAAUACUUAGUGGCAGACGGGUGAGUAACAUGUAGGUAUCUGCCCUUUGGCCUGGAAUAACACGAGGAAACUUGUGCUAAUACCGGAUAAGUCUUUACGGAGAAAGCUUUAUGCACCAUUGGAUGAGCCUGCACUUGAUUAGUUUGUUGGUGGGGUAAUGGCCUACCAAGACUGUGAUCAAUAGCUGAUUUGAGAGGAUGAUCAGCCACAUUGGGACUGAGACACGGCCCAAACUCCUACGGGAGGCAGCAGUGGGGAAUCUUGCACAAUGGAGGAAACUCUGAUGCAGCGAUGCCGCGUGAGUGAAGAAGGCCUUUGGGUUGUAAAGCUCUUUCGUCGGGGAAGAAAAUGACUGUACCCGAAUAAGAAGGUCCGGCUAACUUCGUGCCAGCAGCCGCGGUAAUACGAAGGGACCUAGCGUAGUUCGGAAUUACUGGGCUUAAAGAGUUCGUAGGUGGUUGAAAAAGUUGGUGGUGAAAUCCCAGAGCUUAACUCUGGAACUGCCAUCAAAACUUUUCAGCUAGAGUAUGAUAGAGGAAAGCAGAAUUUCUAGUGUAGAGGUGAAAUUCGUAGAUAUUAGAAAGAAUACCAAUUGCGAAGGCAGCUUUCUGGAUCAUUACUGACACUGAGGAACGAAAGCAUGGGUAGCGAAGAGGAUUAGAUACCCUCGUAGUCCAUGCCGUAAACGAUGUGUGUUAGACGUUGGAAAUUUAUUUUCAGUGUCGCAGCGAAAGCGAUAAACACACCGCCUGGGGAGUACGACCGCAAGGUUAAAACUCAAAUGAAUUGACGGGGACCCGCACAAGUAGUGGAGCAUGUGGUUUAAUUCGAAGAUACGCGCAGAACCUUACCAACACUUGACAUGUUCGUCGCGACUCUUAGAGAUAGGAGUUUUCGGUUCGGCCGGACGAAACACAGGUGCUGCAUGGCUGUCGUCAGCUCGUGUCGUGAGAUGUUGGGUUAAGUCCCGCAACGAGCGCAACCCUCACUUUUAGUUGCCAUCAUUAAGUUGGGCACUCUGAAAGAACUGCCAGUGAUAAGCUGGAGGAAGGUGGGGAUGACGUCAAGUCCUCAUGGCCCUUACGUGUUGGGCUACACACGUGCUACAAUGGUAUUUACAACAGGAAGCAAGACUGCGAGGUCAAGCAAAUCCCUAAAAGAUACCUCAGUUCGGAUUGCACUCUGCAACUCGAGUGCAUGAAGCUGGAAUUACUAGUAAUCGUGGAUCAGCGUGCCACGGUGAAUGCGUUCCCGGGUCUUGUACACACCGCCCGUCACACCAUGGGAGUUGGUUCUACCUUAAGGCAAGGUUUCAAACCCUUGACCACGGUAUAGUCAGCGACUGGGGUGAAGUCGUAACAAGGUAGCCGUAGGGGAACCUGCGGCUGGAUUACCUCCUUUCUAA
rnacentral:rRNA from 1 species